rnacentral:lncRNA from 1 species
UUCUUCUCAGCCGAGAGAUACUCUGCCAAAGUCACCUUCGCUGAUCUUCAUUCCAUCUCCUAGCUUUCUUCCAGUUCUUGGAAGNCGUCUGAAGCUAGAUCUCCUUCUACAUAGAUCUUCAACCACACAUCUACUUCACCUUGCAUCCAUUAUCAUCACUGCUGGAACAAACUGUUGCAGAAUCACGGNUUCUGCAUCUCAUCCGCUGGAGCAGCUCAUCAUGUUGGUAUUCAGAGCUAAAUUCGAUCUACACCACGCUCCAGAUAAGUAGCGUCUCGUUAAUUCCAUAUUGUUUCAUCAAUUCUUUCCUGUCUUGAUGUUGUGUGUAUUGUUUCAUUGCUUCAUUUGAUUUUAGUAAAUCUCAUCCGUUACACGGUUAUUUUUCUUCAAUCCAGCUUUUCUUUGUUUUCAUUUUCUUGUUUCAUUUUAAUCGGUCAAAUCUGGUGCCUUGGAGUAUUUUAAUUUUUUAGAUCCAAUACAGUCAUGUCUGAUCAUGUUGUGGUUCAAUUUUAUUGUCAAAAUUCUGAGUUAAUUGGUUUUAGCACCAACCUACCGUUUCUGAAGUGAUAAAGUGUGUGGAUAAAGCUGAUUUCUUGAGAUGACUUUCAAUAGAUGCACAUUCAAUGAGCAAUGACUAAAUGAGCUCAGUGUAUUCUGAAAGCAAUUACAGAUCAGCACCAGUAAAUCACUGAUCAAAUUUGUGAUUGAACUUGAAUGAUAUUGGUUGAUGCAACUGCACCGUGCUAACUGUGUUCUAAUUUGAUAUGAUAAUCUGUAAUAAUUUGAUGCACUGUUUGAAUUGAGUCACUGCAAUAGUGUAUUAAGCAAACCAAUUCAGUUGAGAUUUGUUAAAAUCAAACCGAGAAUGGUUGCCUUACACUGCAGAAGUUCACAGUAUAGUGCAUAGCAGCUUGGCCGAACUGCACUUGACUUGUUUGAGUUUGUUUUUCUGGUUUUGAAUCUGUUCAGCAAUUACAAAUACUCCACUGGACAUCUAUUCAUCUCAUUCUUAGAGUCUGUUUGUUGUUAAACUGUUGAUCUAAUGACGAAAGAAAUAAUUCAGAUCAUUUUGAUUCCUCUGUCUGAAUGAAUGUUGCGAAUUGGUAAUUUUUGUGUUACAAAGAACAACUGAGAUAGUGAAAUUCCGUUUUAGCAACAUUUAGCCUGCAAUGGCAGUGCACACAAGUCAUAAAUGUGAAACUAAAGUUGCUAGAAACUUUGAAUUGGAAGUAUAAACACGUUAACACAGAUUUACCAUUUCAGUUGUCAUCAUUCACUAUAAUUUUUCUGAUAAGUUGUAGCUGAUUGAAUCAAGUUCAUGUUUACUUGAUUGAUGCAUCAAUUUUAUUGUUGGAUUGGUAGCAAAAGCUUGGCGUAACUGAAGUAAAAGAAAUACACAAUACAAUAAAAAAGAAAGUAUUUUAUUUGAAAAAGCUGUGAACACCAGUACCAGUCAAUUGUAGGUUAUUUUGGUGCAUCAGCCAAAAGUUCUCUUAGGCAUUUUUACGAACAGAUUGCCUAUGUUUAAGUUGAAUUUGAAUUGAUUGAUCCUGCAACUUAUAUGAGUUUAUUGCUUUCUAAAUCUGAGCUAGAACCAUUCCUAAGUUCCUUUUAAAGUGUUAGCUAUUAUUGAAUCCAUUUAAUUUCUUGAUUUUUGCUUGAUUGGAAUUCUGCCCACCAACUGUUUGUGAUAAUCACAGUGGGGCGUUUUUUAUUGCAUCGCUGCAGCAGUAUAUUCAUUCAAUUUCUGCAUUAAUCUUGUUGGUUCUAGAUCCGUGUGAGUGUUGUGGUGGUUGCAGAUUAGUUGCAGAUAGCUUUGCAUUGCUGGUAGCAUAUUAGAAAGAGGAUUGGUGAGGGUGAAGAUUGGAUUGAAAGUUGGUUUUGGCAGCAGUCAACAUUUUUCGGUGCUGCAGCAGAAUUGUUGCAGAUCUGCAUAAUUGACUGUAACAUCUGGUGCAGUUUUGAUACAGACACAGAAUUGAAAGCCUCACUUUCUGCAACUGUGAGAUUUGUGGCUGCACUUGAUACCUACAAUUUCCUUUGAGAGAGGCCAAAGUUGCAAUUGCCAUUUCCCUCCACCGUUACUUUUUCUUUGCUGCAAUUUGUGUAUUUCUUUAUUUUCCAUUUCUUGUAAUCUAGCUAUCUACAGCAAGUGCAGGGGAAGAGCUCAUAAGUGUUCUCCUCUCAUUUGCUAAACUAGACUUAAAGUCUCACAACCUAAAAUUGGGUAGACGGUGAGUGUGUCUUAGAUCCAAAGUCUAAGCCUCACCUAGGAGACCUCACUUUAAUUGCUUUUCUAAUUCUCGACUAGAUAGCCUAUAUCUUGUGCGAAUAGGAAGCUCUCUUAGGGGUCCAAAUUUAGAGUUUAGGUUGUUUUUCUUUGCUUUGUGUGUUUUUGUUGUCUUUAAGACUUAAGUGGAUUUAAGAGUGAUUUUGAUCUAAGGACUCUAGUAAGUAGCUAGAAGCAUAUUUGGCAAGGAUAAGGCUUGGUACUUAAGCAAUCCUAGUGAUUCACCUCCCUUACCUGGAAUAUUGCUUUCANGGCAAGGAUAAGGCUUGGUACUUAAGCAAUCCUAGUGAUUCACCUCCCUUACCUGGAAUAUUGCUUUCAAGUGAAAAUCUUUAGUCUUUAUUUCAAGAAUAACAUUUAAGUCCACCAUAAUGUCUAGAAGGCAUUCUCCUAGGAUUAGUGAUAGUGAAAAUCAACAAGAAAAUUUUACUCUUCAAACUUUAGUCAAUCAAUUCACUGAGAUGAGAAAGGAAAUGCACCAAGAAAGAAUCAAUAGAGAGCUUCAAAAUGCUAUGAUUCAAGAUGAGUUGAGAUUGUUAAGAGAAGAACAAAAUAGGUCUAGGGGAAGUCUAAGUGACCAUUCUGAAGUAGAGGGCAUACCUCUAAAUGUAGGGGAUUACUACAAUCAACCUUCUUCUUCUACGAAAUCUAGGAGAAAUGUUCAUGUGCCCCCACACCCUAAAGAAGUCCAUGUUGUGUUGCCUCACUUCCAUGGGAAGGACAAUGUUGAGGCUUAUUUUGAUUGGGAAAUGAAGGUGGAACAAUUGUUUGCUUGCCACCAAGUGAGUGAAGAGAGAAAGGUCUCUCUAGCUACCCUAAGUUUUCAAGGGUAUGCAAUGUAUUGGUGGACUGCCCUAGUCCAAGAGAGGCUUAGACAUCAAGCCCCUCCCAUUCAUUAUUGGAAUGAUCUCAAGUCUGCCCUUAGGAGGAGGCACAUUCCCUCCUACUACAAUAGAGAACUCAUGGAUAAACUCCAAAGAUUACAACAAGGGUCUAUGACAGUUGAAGAAUAUAGACAAAAGAUGGAGUUGUACAUCAUGAGGGCAGGAAUAGUGGAGGCUUCAGAAAUUACUUUGGCUAGAUUUNUAGGUGGGCUUAAUUUUGANAUUAGAGAUAGGGUUGAAUUANUACCUUAUAGAGAUUUGAAUGAUCUUGUUCAAAUGUGUAUCAAGGUAGAACAACAAAAUUUGAGAAAAACCUCUUCUAAGAGAGUUCAAAUUCAACCUAUCCUUGAAAAGAAAAUUUUCAAAGACAAAGAGCCUUUUAAACCUCUAGCCAAAAUAAAUGAAAAUCCCACACAAGAAUCCUCUUCACACACUCACACAAGAGAUAUCAAGUGCUUUAAGUGUCUGGGUAGGGGACAUAUAGCUGCUCAAUGUCCUACCAAGAGAACCAUCAUUCUUAGAGGUAGUGACAUUUAUAGUAGUGAAAGUGAAUCUCCCACUAGUGAAAGUGAGAGUGAACAAGAGAAGGGAGAGGAAGUCUUUGCUGAAGAUNGUCAACUUCUCAUGGUGAGAAGAGUGCUCAAUAAUCAACCUAGCUUAGAACAUCUAUCUCAAAGAGAGAACAUCUUUCAUACAAGAUGUAAGAUUCAAGACAAAUAUUGUUCUCUCAUUGUUGAUAGUGGAUCUUGCUGCAAUUGUUGUAGUGCCAAGCUAGUUGAAAAGUUAAAUCUUGAAGUCAUACCCCAUCCAAAACCUUACAAGCUUCAUUGGCUCAAUGAAGAUGGGGAUAUAACUGUCAAGAAACAAACUAAAUUGGCAAUUUCCAUUGGGAACUUUAAAGAUGAAGUGAUUUGUGAUAUAGUUCCCAUGGAAGCUUGUCAUGUGUUGUUGGGAAGACCAUGGCAAUUUGAUCAUGAAACCAUACAUCAUGGUCUUACCAACACCAUAGUUGUGCACAAAGGAGAUAAGAAAUUUGUGCUUCAUCCUUUGACACCUACUCAAGUUGUAAAGGAUCAAGCACAAAUGAAGGAAACUAGGGACCAAGAAAGUGAACAAAAGAGAAAAGAAGAGGAAGAAAGACAAGAAAAAAAAAAACAGAGAAAGGGAAGAAGUUGAAAGAAAAGAAUGGGAAGAAAAGGAAAAAGAGCAAUUAAAGGCAAUAUCUCCUCCUACACUUACAAUANAACCUAAUCUAUUAAGGGGAGGUUUCUUAUCCUUUCACUUUUCUCCAUUUAUUUUUGAAAUUCCAAAAUCUCACUCUUCUUUCCAAGAAAUUGCCAUGUCAUUUUUAAAAAAGCUAAAACUUUCAACACAUGGCAAUUCACACCUUGAGUUAUGGUUACCUCUUUGGUUACCACUAAAUCAAGGGAAAAAUAAAUUUUCAAAAGAAGUAACGCUUCAUAAAAUUACAAAACUUGAACAAAUGAACAUUAGGAAGCCUUCUUCUAAACAUUUUGUUUUAUACAUUUUGUUGGGUCAUAGAAAACUAAUUAGAAAUAUGUUUGAUGUUUAUUGCAGAUUAAUAUUUGACCCAGGUGGAAGAUCUAUGAAGACUACAAAAAUAAGUCCUCAAGCAACCACCAAAUUUGAGGACAAUCCUUUCCAAGGGAGAGGGGAUGAUGACUUGGGUCCAAGCAUACUAGAAGCAUAGAAGACUCCAAGAAGAGCUUGGGGACAUAGAUCCAAAUAGGCAAGUUCUCUUCAUACAUUUUAAGUGGAAUUUGGAGACACCAAGAGAAGGGCAAAACUGUCCACAUGAAGGUUGGAGUUGCUAGCAGCACCCCC